rnacentral:rRNA from 1 species
AUACGUAGGGUGCGAGCGUUGUCCGGAAUUACUGGGCGUAAAGAGCUCGUAGGUGGUUUGUCGCGUCGUCUGUGAAAUUCCGGGGCUUAACUCCGGGCGUGCAGGCGAUACGGGCAUAACUUGAGUACUGUAGGGGAGACUGGAAUUCCUGGUGUAGCGGUGAAAUGGGCAGAUAUCAGGAGGAACACCGGGGGCGAAGGCGGGUCUCUGGGCAGUAACUGACGCUGAGGAGCGAAAGCAUGGGUAGCGAACAGGAUUAGAUACCCUGGUAGUCCAUGCCGUAAACGGUGGGCGCUAGGUGUAGGGGUCUUCCACGACUUCUGUGCCGUAGCUAACGCAUUAAGCGCCCCGCCUGGGGAGUACGGCCGCAAGGCUAAAACUCAAAUGAAUUGACGGGG